UACGGAGGAUCCAAGCGUUAUCCGGAUUUAUUGGGUUUAAAGGGUGCGUAGGUGGCCUAUUAAGUCAGGGGUGAAAGACGGUAGCUUAACUAUCGCAGUGCCUUUGAUACUGAUGGGCUUGAAUACAGAUGAAGUAGGCGGAAUGUGACAAGUAGCGGUGAAAUGCAUAGAUAUGUCACAGAACACCGAUUGCGAAGGCAGCUUACUAAAGUGUGAUUGACACUGAGGCACGAAAGCGUGGGGAUCAAACAGG
rnacentral:rRNA from 1 species